AACGAACGCUGGCGGCAUGCCUAACACAUGCAAGUCGAACGAGACCUUCGGGUCUAGUGGCGCACGGGUGCGUAACGCGUGGGAACCUGCCCUUAGGUUCGGAAUAACUCCCCGAAAGGGGUGCUAAUACCGGAUAAUGUCUUCGGACCAAAGAUUUAUCGCCUUUGGAUGGGCCCGCGUUGGAUUAGCUAGUUGGUAGGGUAAAAGCCUACCAAGGCGACGAUCCAUAGCUGGUCUGAAAGGAUGAUCAGCCACACUGGGACUGAGACACGGCCCAGACUCCUACGGGAGGCAGCAGUGGGGAAUAUUGGACAAUGGGCGAAAGCCUGAUCCAGCAAUGCCGCGUGAGUGAUGAAGGCCUUAGGGUUGUAAAGCUCUUUUACCCGGGAUGAUAAUGACAGUACCGGGAGAAUAAGCUCCGGCUAACUCCGUG
rnacentral:rRNA from 1 species